rnacentral:tRNA from 1 species
GGUAGAAUGGCUGAAAUUAUAAGUGAUAAAUUGUAAAUUUAUUUAUGAGAUUAAAAUCUCUUCUACCA